UGAUCUCAAAUCAGAUAAGAGUACCCGCUGAACUUAAGCAUAUCAAUAAGCGGAGGAAAAGAAACUAACAAGGAUUCCCUUAGUAACGGCGAGUGAAGCGGGAAGAGCUCAAAUUUGAAAUCUUCAAGGUUCUACCUUGACGAAUUGUAGUUUAAAGAAGUGUUUUCUGUUAGAGGAGUAGCAAAAGUUCCUUGGAAUGGGACAUCAUAGAGGGUGAGAAUCCCGUAUUUGGUUAUUCUUUCUAGCUUUGUGAUACACUUUCAAAGAGUCGGAUUGUUUGGGAAUGCAGUCCAAAAUGGGUGGUAAAUUUCAUCUAAAGCUAAAUAUUGGCGAGAGACCGAUAGCGAACAAGUACCGUGAGGGAAAGAUGAAAA
rnacentral:ncRNA from 1 species